UUAAUGGCAGAAAAAAAAUUAUUAUUUGAUUUGUAAGAGAAAAGUCUUUUUUAAAUGCAAUAUAAUACAUCUCCAUUUAUUUGAAAACAUGCUAGCAACUAACUGUUCAGCAUUAAAUCUCUGAGUUUAUAUUUUUGUUUUAAACUAGCGGUGCAAUUCAGCUUGUGUUCCCCACGAAAUGAGUUUGAAAUCGGAUCAUUCGUUUAGUAAACAAGCCGAACGCGAAAUGAAUUUUUCAGCUCAUUUAAAUAAACGAGCCGAAUAUGAGCUAGGGUCAGCUCGUUCUUGUUCGGCCGAUAAUAGUUCGAAUACAUAUAUUUUAUAUUUAUAUAUAUAAAUAAAUAAUUAUAUAUAUAAAUACAGACUUUUAUUAUUUUAUUUUUUUAACCCAACCAAUUAUAAAAAAACUCAUUUAUAUAUAAACUCUCAACCAUUACAUCAAAAUUUAAUGGAUAAUAUCUCAUUAAUUUCUUUUCUAUAUGUAUAUUUUUUAAUCUUUUUAACUUAUUGUUCAUAAGCCAGCUCAUAUUCGGCUUCUUAAUAAACUAGCUGAAUACGAACUGAAAUUUUUAGCUCAAUAUUUUAACAAGCCAGUUUGUGUUCGGCUCAUUUGUGAUUCGAGCAGCCGACCCAGCUCGCAUUUGUUUGAUAGAUCGACACCCCUAUUUCAAAUGCUAUAAACAAAAAUAGAAGAAUUUGUUUGGUAAAUUAGAGCGACAGUUCAGGAAUUAAUUUGUGAAAUUCGUGGAACUUGAUCUCCAAAUUACUUCAAAACAAUUAAAAAUAAUUUUCGGUCCAGGAACCACGUGGUAGACCCGGUCCAUACACCGCACAACACAUCCUCAUCAAGUCCACGUAACCGUGAUAUGUAACCGUUACACCGAUUGAUUGUUUCCCUCCUAAAAGCAUCCCACACUGACAAGUCCAAAGAUGCGAUUUUUAGUUGGGUACAAAAUGUCGAAAUGUAUGGCGACCCCCUUCAACUAUUAGAUAUUUACAAAUCGCUGCAUUUUCUUUAUUUUAUUUUAAAACUCUUUGUAUUUUGAUAUGUAUGUUUAAAUUGAAUAUUAAUGUCUUUGAAAUUACAUUUUUAUAGUAAUUUUCAUUAAUCUUUAGUAAAUAAAUUGAUAAGAAUUAUUAGAUACCCCAUUAUAGUUUUUUCUUUUCGUCAGUCUUUUCGUUAACUUUUCGUUAAAUUACAUACAAAAAAUAUUAAAUAUCCCUUAUAGUUUAUCGAAUCUUUAUUUUGGUAUCAUUUAAUUUUAACUUAAUCGUUAUUUUAACGAAAAAAAAUAAUGAAGGAAAUAAAAAAAAAUAAAUAAAUAAAACGAAAGGAUACGGAAAAAAUAGCAUACUGAAGUGAGAAAACGAGAAAUUACAGGGUGGUAUUUGAAGUUUUCCCUAUAUAAAAACCAGUCCCUUUCCUCUUCUUCUCCUCUCUCUCUCUCUCUCUCUAUCUCUCUAAUGGCGUUCUCCUCUCUCCUCCUCACCACCUCCCCCACUCUCCCCCUCUCCUCCCACCGCCGCACCCUCCCAAUCCCCUCCACGCGCCCCCUAAAACCCUCCGUAAACCCUAAUUUCGCCACCAAUUCGUCGAAUCCCCGUUCGAUUGAGCCGCUCUUCGUCUCCGCUCGAGUUCGCGCGCGGGGGAGCUCGAUCGGAGAAGCCGAGGCGGAGGAGCCCUACGUCGAUGGGGGCGACGACGAGGGAGGAGCUCUCCGCGGCGAGGACUCGGCCGCGUUCGACUUGGGGGAGCAGAGGCUCGCCUCGUGGGCCUACUUCGCGGCGAUUUUGGGCGCCGUGCUCUUCGGAUUGAACGUGGUGUGGAUCGACCCCUCCACGGGGUUCGGGACCGCGUUCGUGGGCGCCGUUUCGAGCCUCUCGAGUAGCCACGAGGUGAGUCCUGUGGUAAAGGUCUCAACUUUAAGGGGAAUUUUGAUUUUUCUCAUAAUAUUAUUACUGCGUUCUACUUGAAUUUUGCAAUUUUGUAACUGUUUAAUGCAUAAAUAUUAGGAAUUUUGUAGUUUUGUUGAAUUUGAUAGAUUGGUAGUAUCGCCAUAUGAACUAUCAUAAGAUGUGUCCAGGGUGUUUUUGCGCGGCGCAAGCUUGCUAUAUGAAGAGCUUAUAUAACAAUUUUAUCAGUUUUCGCGUUAAAUAUCUGUAUAAUCUUCUCUCGACGAUUAAAACCUAAAACUUUUCUCAUGCUUCCACUUUUGUGCACCGCGCUUCUGCUUAUCGAGUAGAGAAGUUGUUUAAGAAGUGGAUGAAACAGGCAAUAAAUUGACUUUUGUUCAAUUAUUAGCAUGGACGAUGCGUGGAUGAGAUUUAUCUGCACUGGUUUUCUUCAUUUAGUUUGCGAUUUAUUGUCCGUUUAAAGUACUUAAAGAUAAAUCAGGUGAACUAACUAAAGUAGAUACACUAUAGGCGGUGAACUGGUGGAAAUAGUUGGGUCUUAAGGUAGAUAAGCCAAGAUCAAAAGGCAUAAAGGAAUUGGAAAGUUCAAUUUAUAUAAAAUACGUCAGAAUUGGUGAACAGUUGGAAUCAUCCUUUUGUGUGAUCGAUUAUUUGAAAAUUGAAAGAAAUUGGAAAAUAUUGGCUGAAGAGAAAUGAUAGAAAGUAAGUGAUCAAAUAGUGUAAGAAUACCCAACUUGAACCACAAUUCCCCAAACAUAGGAGCCAACAUGAAAAAUGAUUUAGGUGAUUGAAUCAUCAUCUUUAACUUGUGUUAAAAGCCAUAUAUUUUUGUAGCUAAAGAAAUCCAUGGUAAAUUGAGAAUGUGCUUAAAUGUGGACAAGAGAGCCAUAAGUCAAUGACUUUGGAAAGCCUUCAAAACAGGUGUCCUUUAAGAUAGAUGCGGCUGUCAGCCUGUUCAGUUUGAAAUUGUAAUGCGACAAGGGCAAGACAAGAUCAUCUCUCUCUCUCUCUCUCGCUCGCUCGCUCGCUCUCGUGCUCACUUUGUAUGUGUGUGCACAUGCUAUCCCAUCAAAGAAUGCAGUGCAAAUUGUGCAUCUUUAUUAUUAUUAUUUUAAUCUUCUUUUCUCGCUGCCUUUACUAGGCUGUGCUACCUUAAUUCUUCUCUGGUGCUGCCCUCAUAUAUAUAACUUAUUCUGAAAUUUUGUAUCUGCUUCGUAAUAUUUUCGCCAGUAUUGGACUAUCGAGUUUUGCCGGGCUUGAGAAUCUAUCUCUUUGGAGAAAUAUAUUGCCAUGUUAAGAGCACUCAUUGUGGGUUGUGGGCUUGAAAAUCCCAAUUUUACCCUCCAAGCUUCCUUUUUGUUGCUUUUUUGUCGGUUUACUGGAGGAGCUAAUUGUUAUCUUUCUAGGCAUCUAAUUCUUAUCUAGUUUAAUUAAAUUGUUUUCUUUUAGCUGAAUAAUUACUCCUGUUGCUGUUUCAUCCUCGAUGAGAUUUUGAAAGCUUACUCUUUCAAUUAUGCAGGUUGUAAUGUUGAUCCUCAUAAUCAUUUUUGCCGCUGUUCAUAGUGGUAUGGCUAGUUUCCGCGAUGCUGGCGAGAAGCUUAUUGGAGAGCGGGCUUACCGUGUUCUAUUUGCAGGAAUCUCCCUUCCCCUAGCAGUCAGCACUAUUGUGAGUUCUCGAGCAUCUUUUUUCUUCUCACUCGCUCUAGAAUCUUUCAUGCUAAAUUGCCUCCUAAACCUGAUUUCAGUUAAAUCCUUAGUGUGACACCCCAAUAGUUCCAUAUCGGAUAAUAUGAGAGCGUGUAACGUGCUUAUAUACGACUGGCACGCUAGAACUAAUAACCGGGCUUAAGCAUUUUGGACUAGUGAUUUUGACCCACGAGUUAUUAGUACUAGUGGGCUGGGUAGUUGCACUUAAGAGUUCAAUUUUAACUGCCCAGUUCCUGAAGUUUGUUCCAUCCAGCAAUUAGGUAAUAAUUAGGCUGUUCAUUCACCAGGCUCGACAUUAAAUACCACUAUAUCCACUACGUCCAACAAUUAUGCUGAGGUGUUGUCUUUUUCCAGGCACUGCUUUAACAAGAGAAUUUAAUUGUUACACCAAACAAACUUUAGGGGCUAAAUUGUUGAAUUUGAACCUCUAAGGACUUAAAUCAGGGUUAAAUUUCAAGGACCAAAAAUCAAACUUUUAAUUGAACUUUUCUAUAUAUUUUCUCGGUUAUUAAUUUUGGCUAGUGUUAUAGGUUUACUUCAUCAAUCACCGAUAUGAUGGUACCCAACUAUGGCAAGUCCAGAGUGUCCCCGGCAUCCACGAGCUUGUGUGGGUCUCCUCAUUCAUCUCAUUCUAUUUCUUAUACCCAUCCACAUUCAAUCUUUUAGAAGUUGCGGCAGUUGAUAAGCCUAAGCUGCACAUGUGGGAAACUGGAAUAAUGAGAAUCACCAGACACCCUCAGGUAUAUGGUACUCCUCAAUAUAUUCCCUUUGUUGGCAUGGUUGCUUAUCAUAGAAUAAUCUCAAGAAAGGGUGAAAAGUUUGUGGUAGUUUCUGAACUUUCGGCGAAUUGCAAUUUCGUCCCAAUUCAUUCGCUUAAAAUAGAUUUUGUCCCUUAAUAUCCGAUAUUUUACGUGAAAGCUUUCUCGAAAGUCUAGGUACUAUCCAUACAUUUUAGCUCCUCAAAAAUUGAGUCUAAGACUUACCGAUUGAGCAAUUUGGGUGCGAUUGCCAAUAAUUAGCAUAAAAGUUUGUUUUUUUUUAAUAUAUAUAUAUUUUUUGCUCUUAAUGCAGAUGGUAGGUCAGGUAAUCUGGUGCUUAGCUCACACUCUUUGGAUUGGCAAUUCUGUAGCAGUUGCUGCCUCUGUUGGCUUAAUAGCUCAUCAUCUGUUUGGAGUUUGGAAUGGCGAUAGGAGACUCGCUUCGCGGUAUGGUGAAGCUUUUGAAGUUGUAAAGAGCAGAACCAGUGUAAUUCCUUUUGCAGCAAUCCUUGAUGGCCGUCAAAGAUUGCCCAAAAAUUAUUACAAGGAAUUUAUUAGGCUACCUUAUCUUACAAUCACAAUUUUGACCCUCGGUGCCUACUUUGCACAUCCGUUGAUGCAAUCAUCGAGCUACGGUCUUCACUGGUAGUAAUACUGUAUGUCAAUAGAUCUACUUGUUCGACAAAGACAUGAAAAUCAUAUAAAAUCAAAUUGAAUUGUUGCUUUGCUAAACUGAGCAGAAUAACUGUUGCACACGGGAUUUCUCUUUACAAUUUUUGGCAGGCUCUUGUUUGGUAAAUGAGGAGAAACAAAAGAAGAGAGAAAUGUAGGUGAAAAUAAGAAUCUUUUAAAGAUCCUUUUGUCGAUGCAGAAGAUGCUUCUGAUAUUGUUGGAGCCUGAUCUUUUGGUGGCAGUUGAAACGGAGCAGCUGCUUCUUUAUAUCCACUCUCAUCCUCGAACUGCGAAGAAUCAUAAUUCUCAAGCCAAGCCUCGGAUGCUGCAAUAAAAGUCAGAUCAGUCUUCGUACAGAGAUUCAACAGUAAGAAAAAAAAACUUCCACUUUCUAUUAUGGAUUUAGAAAAAUUUCUAGAGUUUACCGGAACUAUUGCUCAUUUUGAUAUAGGUACUCAAACUUUAAAAGUUUUGAUUUUGAUAUCUAGUAUUAGAGUGUGUUUGAUUUAAGUACCUCUCAAGUAGAAUAUAACAGUGUUUGCAACAUUUUUGACAGAAUAUUCUGUAACAGUACAGAGAGUUUGAUAAACUUUUCUUUAAGAAAACAUUCAGUUCAGUUCCCGACAAUUUGAUGGAACUUUUCAAAAUUGAAAGUAAGUAGUCAAAUCGAAAUUUUGAAAGUUCAGGUUCCCAUUUUAAAAUGUGCUAUAGUUUUGGAAAGUUCUAUACAUUUUCAUCUAUGAAUUUGUCUACAAUGUUUACCUUUUCUUGACACUGUACUAUUCGAGUCGUCGAAGCUGAUCGGCCAGAGGAAAUAACCCAGCAGUCUAUACUUCAAAGCGAACUCUAUCUUCUCCUCAACCACGGUAUGGUCGUCGAAGCUGACCCAAACCCCGCCCGAGUAAAAAUAAGCAGAAACCGUUGAGUUAUCGUAUUGAGAAACUGUGGUGGGGUCUCUUAACAGUUGUUCAAUCUCGAAAUAUGCCAUCGAACCGGUCCGGUUGCUGAUCCGCUGCUUCGGCCCCCCGGCCACCACUGGUGAGUUGAUUCCAUUCUUCGCUUUGUUCUUUAAGAACCAAGAUUUUCCGUAUAAGGGAAUGCCCAAAACUAGCUUACAUGAAGGAAUCCCUGCAUCUAGCUAAGAAAUGUUCCCAUAGCUUGCUGAGAAGUGUGAGACCUUAUCGUAAAGUUGUGCAUAAAAAAUAGUGACAUUGCUAUUCUUGUGGAAGCCAAAUGAGACUGCAUUUAUCCAAUCUAGGUUGCUUGAGAUCGCGUCUAUUGGGUAGUCGAGAUCGUCGGACGGCCCGUCGAAUAUGUGGUUCGAGAAGUAAACCGUGGCGGUUAAAAGGAGCGGGGGCCGCGACGAGCGCUUGGCUUCGUCUUCGAUUUGAGCUCUCCAUUCUGCGAUCAAGAUUCCAAGGUUGGUCAGGUCGGCAGGGGAGGCGGGGAACUGCCACGCGAAAUCGAGGCCGUCGAACGCGUUGGCGCGGGCGAGGCCGAUCGCGGAGUCGAUGAAUGCUGACCGACAGACCGGAUCGGCGGCCAUCGCAGAAAACGCGACGUUCGAUGACUUGGAGUUUUGAUCAUCAGUGGAAAUGGACAGAAGGAUUUUGAGAGAUGGGUUUGUGGAUUUGAGGGUGGAGGAGAAUGUAGCUAAGAGUGGGACCUGGUCAGGUGGGGGAAGGGAUGUAAUGAGGAGCCUGGUGUCAAUUGAGGUGGAGUAGUAGAGGUGAGUGUAGAGAGAGGUGUUGAUGUUGGAGAGAGGGGAGUAGUGAUUGGAGGUGGAGAGCCAAUACCCAGCUCUCACCUGAUUUGAAGAGCCUGUGCAAUUGGAUGUAGAGAGAGAAACUAGAGAGAGAGUGAGGAGAGAGAUGAAGAGUGAGGUGAGGGGAAUUUGACCCAUUUUGAGGAGUUUGAGGAUGGCAAUGGAAGUGGAGGAUCAAGAGUUUUGGUUGUGGGCAUUGUUCAGAGAGAGAGAGAGUGAGAGAGGUGGACUUUGGAGAGCACUAAGGGCAAGUUGAAAAGGGGUGGUGCUUUGUUUGGAUUGGAUCAUUACUUUUAAAAAGAUGGGCUCACAUCUCUUAACCCCAUUAAUAGAAAAAGCUUUUUUGAGUGCUUCUCAUUUGGAGUGGGAGUUGAGGAUCAGUGGAUCUGGAAAAGGUAAAAGUCAUGACAGGCUGGUUCUUAUAUUACAUAUUCAGUUAUAUUGGUAUUGCCUCUGAACACAGCCCAAAUUAAUUCUCACUGUCUCCUAACUGAAACAUGGUUCAUGUGCUCACUGCUUCCCCCUUUCUCUCUCUCUUUCUCUCUCUCUCUCUCUCUCUCUCUCUCUCUCUCUCACAGUAGCUGAAAUAAAUUUUUGAAUCUUAAGUCUGGUCUUGCUCUCUCUCAAAGAGCAAUCAUUUAUGGUAGGGUGUUUGGUGAUAUAAGAAUUCGAACUUUCUAGUAUAAUAGAACUCCGCUUAUAACUUAUCAUUUUGCUGUAGUGUGAGUUCACUUUAAGUCUCAGAUGACGGAAACAUCAUAGUGGCCAAAGUUGAUAGUUCUGUUUUCAUAGUUUUAUUCUAACAGCACUUCUCCAAACUUUACUUGGAGGAAUGAGUCGCCGUGAAAGAGACAAAGAGGUAUGUUUCCUUAAGAAUGGUGCUAUAAACACAAUUUAAUUAGUCGCCGUUACUAAGCAUUUGGCAUUAGGUGAAUGUCACAGCUUGUUUAGGCACAUUAUUAAUAAUUUAUUCCAGUGGACCAUUUUUCAAUUCCAUGGCCUCAACUGCCUCACUCAUAUUUUGCAUCAGCACAAGCUGACCUACAAGGCUACAGCCCAUGUGAUGUAAAGUACAAAGCUGGUAGCAAAAGCAUAGAAGGGUGAGUGUCUUUUGUGUGAGGGAACUAUUAUACAGAGAACUUUUCUGGACACUGGCCAUGGAUCAAAGUUUUAAGUGCUUUUUUUUCUGCUUCUGAAUAACUUUUCUACUAACUGAAUUUAGUUUGGAGUAGAAAGGACGGGUGAGGUCUCAGGUUUCAAUCCAUAGGAAAACUCAGGAUUAUGCACAGGAACCAAGCAAAACUCAGGAUUCAGGUGUGGAGAGAGAGAGAGAGAGAGAGAGAGAGAGAGAGAGAGAGAGAGAGAGAGAGUAGUUUCUCUACUUGAAGAAGCAGUAGUAGAACUACUAGAGGGAGAGAGAAUAGCUUGUCUAUUUGAAGAACCAAUAANAAUUUAUUUUUCUAAAAAAAUAGACAAAGUGGGUAUCACGCUACUUUUUUCUCUUUAAAAAAAAAGUGUCCCAAAAAAAAAAGGGCAAAAACUUCAAAUACCACUCUUGUAGUUUUAUACUUUCUCACUUUAGUAUUAUGUGGUUUAAAGUGUAUCAAUAUAGUGCCAUGUGGUUUUAUUUUUAUCUUUUUAUUAUCGAUUUUACUAAUGUCUUUUUGUUAAAUCAGUGAUAAAGUUAAAAUUAAAGGGUACUAAAGUGAAUAUUUGAUAAAUUUAGGUAGGGUAUCUGAAAUUUUUAUAUAUAAUUUAACGAAAUAUUAAGGGAGAAGCUGAGAACCAAUGGUGUAAGAUUUAUGCGUUGCAUGUGAUAAAGGGCCGAUCGGACGGUGCAUCAUUGCUUUAAGAAUUGUAUAUUUUAUUUUAUAUGAUAAAUUAUUAUUAGACUAUCUCUUCGUGGUGAAGCUUUCUAUCUCAUUUUUAUUCGAAUAAUUUAUCCGAAGAGAGAAAAAAAAGCUAAAAGAUAGAAAUUAUUUUUUUGGAAAUGUCUGCUUUCUUUUUUCUUUUUUCUUUUUUUUUUUUUACUUUCUUACUUUUAAAAAUAUUUUAUUUUAAAAAAUUACAACUUUAAUGAAGAGGAUCGACUAAAUGACCACAUUAUCCUUACUUAUUCUGUAAGAAUAAUUUGGUCAAAUUAAUCAUAGCCCUGCUACACCGUCACAUCAGCGACAAUAUUCUAAAUUAGACCGUGAGACUUAAUUAAUUAUUACCACACUAUUAGUCGCGGUACUGCUAUCACCGUCACAUCAGCGGCAAUAUCAUUAUUGAGUUAACUAUGACAAUAUCAUUAUUGAGUUAACUAAAUUAGAUUAUGAAACUUAAUUCGCAUUAGCGACAACACCACUAUAGAGUCAAUUAAAUUAUAUUGUGAGACAAUUAAUUAUUACCGCACCAUUAAUCUUAGCAUAGCUAUCACCGCAACAUAAGCCAUAACAUCAGUAUUGAGUCAAUUAAAUUAGACUAUGAGACUUAAUUAAUUAUUAUCACGUCAUUAAUCAUAACACUGUUAGCACCGCCACGUCAGCGAUAAUAUCUAUAUUAAGGUUUCGUUUGGAAUUGCGGGGAGAUUGCUGUUUGUUUCAGUACGUAAUAUUGCAUAUUACUGUUAGUCGGUUACGAUAUAUUUUCUACGGUUCCAUUGGAGAACACAGAAGUAUAUUUCUAUGCUUUUUCUCAAUUUUAUUUUAUCUAACAGCGUUAAAUAAACCUCAAUACCAAACUAAGCCUAACUCAACUAAAUUAGAUGUGACACUUAACUAAUUAUUACUAUGCUAUUUAUGGUGAAUCUUAUUUGCAAUAAUCUUGAAGGUUGAGGUAAAAUCUAUAACAAAUUAAGAGUUUUAUUUUUAGCAUUUAGCUUCCGCAAAUUUUUUUUAUAAAUAGUUCAAAUAAAUUUAUAUUUGUAUAAAUGAUUAUUUUCUUAUUACGCAACCGCCGUAUUAGUAGUUUUAAGUUUUUUUUUAUUGCCCAUAAGUUGAAAAAUAGGAUUAAAGUGUGGAUAUCAAUUCGAUAAUUGAGUCACCAUAUUUAAACAUAAGAACAUGGUGAUUGUAUCAACGUGUUCAACUUAAAAACGCCAAUUUGACACUCGCAUGAUAAGGAGAGGAUCAUUUAUGCAAACAUAAUUUUGCUACGAUCAUUUGUAAAGAAAAAAGUUUUGAGCGGGGUAUAUGCAAAAAGAUCACAAAUUCAAGUAUGAGGACUAAGUGUCACAAACUCAUAGUUUGAGGACUAAAGUAUAAUUUAGCCCAUCUCUUUCAAAUAGCUCUUCUCGUUCGUCCUCGUCCUCCUCUUUUUCCUUCCUCCGAUCUCCCAUGGCCACCACCUCCAUCUCCGUCGCCCUCAACUCUCCGGCGAUCUCUUCCCGCCUCGCCGCAGCUUCCCGGAGGGCGGCGCCGCCCCUCGCGCGCCGCUCCGCCGCGCCGGCCACCUCUCUCCGGUCGCCGCCUCUUCGCGCCGCGUUCGGAUCCGCUGAACCCGCACCCUUCGCCUUCUCCGGUAAUCAUCGCCCCUUCCCCUUUCUCUCUCUCGCUUGUCCCUCUCAUUGCUCUAGAUGUUGGAUUCGAUGCUGAGUUUGGGGCUUUAUCAGCUGUGAUUGGGCCAUGGUAGUAGCGUUUUGGGGCUUGCGAGGUUGAACUUUGAGAUCUAUGCGUUGAGAUCCUGUUUAUUUAAUUCAACCCAUAUGAUGGUUCUUCUGGUACAAAAUUUAAGUCCAUUAACAUUUUAGUCACGUGAAUCACACGGAAUAUGCUAAUCAAGCGCACAUCAAAAUUUUGAAGUAUAAGAGUCAUUAAAUGGCUCAAAACAAAUGAAUUAAAAAGUUUGAUAGCAAAAUUAAAAUUUUUCAAAAGGCAGGUAAUUGGAUCAAAACCGAUUGUAGCUCAGGUAAGUUUUUUGUUCUGUAGGUGAAAAGGUUAUGAGAUUGAUUAAUUUUUCUCUCUCUCUCUUUUUUUUUUCUUUUUUUUUUUUUUGACCUUGAUGUUAUGAGAUUGAUGUUACUGUUGGUUGAUAGGUUUUAAGCUGUAGGAGUUAUUGAUGCAGGUUUAAGAACUCAGGUUUCAACUACUGAUCAGGCAAUUACUGAAGAUGCUCAAAAGGUGGAAGCUCCAGUUGUUGUUGUUACUGGAGCCUCCAGAGGAAUUGGAAGAGCUAUAGCAUUGGCUCUUGGUAGGGCUGGGUGCAAGGUUUGUAUACUUUGAUCAUCUUAGUUUUUUCUACUACACUCAAGUUUAAAAUUUUCUCUGUACAAGCAUCAGUUACUUCACCGAGGACCUAUUUGGAUACCAAAAUACCCGUAGUUGUUGUCUAAUAAUAUAUCUCUCGAUAACUGUGCCGUAUAGGAUUUUCUUUCGUGAUUAAAAGCUAGAAAUUUGAUUAUAGCUGGUGUGGAAUCUUAAUGAUUCUCAGGAGAUGAUUUUGCAACACUUUGAGGAAAAAAAUGAUGUAAGAGGCCACAUGCACCGUCCAGUUGUAGAUGUACUCUCAUAUCCUCCGUCAGCCAAUUACCAUACGUCCCUUGAGUAAGCAAGAAAGAUAUGCUGAAAUAUGCUUUCAUUAUAUGUGAAAUAGGCUAUUCAUUUGUUCAGGAUAUGAUAGUUUACCUUGUAUGUGAAAUAUUCUAUCCUGAAAUACCAUAAUUAUUAGACUUCACAAUUGCUAAUGGUUGAAUUUCUAUCUUGUAAUCACCAGAGGAAAGAGCAUUACAAGUUAAUUUCCGUAUAAUUUGUUCCAACAUCCAAACACCAACUAAAAACCAUAGAAGAUUGGGUACUUGUGUAACCUUUGGCUUGAGGCCUUUGUAGAACAAAUUUCACACUUUUCAGAUGCUCAAUAGGUUGGCAUUAUAUCAUUUGCAGCUUAGGGUGUGUUUGGAUCGGUGGAAAACUGAUCCGAAAAUUUUUUUUCCCUUGAAAAAUGAUUUUCGGAUGUUUGGUUGUUCGUAAAAAGAAAAAUUUGAAAAGAUUUUUUUACAGAUCCUGAGAAAAGGUUGGGUUUUCGUUUUCCGCUCAAAACGAGCGGAAAACGAAAACUCAUGGCCAAAAGAGCGCGGCUCUUGUGGUAGGAUAUGCGCAGUCCACGAGGUCCACUUCACCUCGUGGACCGCAUGAGAGGGAGUCCACGGUCCACCAUGGACUCCUCUCUCUCUUCUAUUUUAUUUAUAAAUAUUAAUUAUAAUAAUAAUAUUUGUAGUAUUAUAAUUAUUAUAUAUCAAUAAUAUAUAAUAUGUGAAAUAGGACAAAAUAUAUAUUAUUACAACUUUUUCGUUUUUUUUCCUUUCAACCAAACAACCGUAACGGAAAACUACUUUUUUUUCCUACAAACCAAACACUACAGAGCGUAAAAUUUAUUUUCCUCCAAAAUUUUUUUUUCCACCGAAAAUUUUUUUUCAUAGUUUUAUGUAGAACCAAACACGCCCUUAGCAUUUUCUUGUAAUAUAUGACGCUAUUCAUUUAGUUGAAGUGAUUUAUUCUUGACGGGUGAGAUUAUGAUUAUGCAUUUGUUUGAUGCUAUUUAAGAUAUUCUGUUCUGAGUGCCAGCUUCUUCUAGUUGCUCCACUCAUUUGUUUCUACUGUUUCUCUGGGAAGAGAUAUUUUAGUUGCUCUAUUGGUUUAUCAGAUUAACAAUUCUUUCACUUGUAAUAACAGUUGUUUUAUCCAUAAUGUACAUGACUGUCCUAAUUCUGCAUGCCUCUGCAAGAAGCUUAGUAGUUGAUAGUCUUCUCAUUCUAUUCCAGGUCCUUGUGAAUUAUGCGAGAUCUGCAAAAGAAGCUGAAGAAGUUUCAAAAGAAGUGAGUUAUCGUUACCUCAUUUGUCCCAAGUCAUAACCUGCCGAAGUAUCAUCCACCUAUAAUGUUUUUGCUCAUCUUGUUGCAUAUGCUUUUGUAUAAGAAGAACACUUGUGUGAAGGAAAAAAGGAAAAAAAGAAAUAGAAAAAAAAACUCUAGAAAGGAGCAUAAGAUCAGGAAUAUGAUACAGUAGUAGAGUCCUGAGAGCCUCAGACUUUGGUGUUACACAGUUAAGGGAGGGUGUGUUGGGUGUUCUGCUAGGUAUUUGAUGCAUUGAACCAGCAAAAAGUGGUCACAGUGGCCUUUUCUUUUGUUCCUUUUCUUUUCUUUUCUUUUUUCAUAUCUUCUACCUUUUCUCAUCCUAAGCAAUACUUUUUCGCAGCAAUUUUUGCUUUUAUUACUAUUUGGGUAUGGCACAGCAGCGAACAACCUGCAAAUACUACAUCCUGCUUCAGAUUUCUAUGUCAUUGAACGUUGCAUUUUUUACCAGCAUCUUUUGCAAUUUUUACUUGACUAUUGCAAAUUUACUUGCAACUAGAGUGCUCUUUGUAAUUAAUCAAACCAUCUCUAACAUUUCUUUUUCUUUUUUUGGGGUAAAAAUUUAUGUGUAUAUUGAGUUAUCAACGAACAUAUAUGAGCAAUUAACAAAGUUUACUCAACCCACUAGAAAAUCAUGGGCUCUCGUGCCCUACAUACUCGAGGCUGCAUUAGAGUGAUACCAUGGUGAUAUACCUCGCUUGUGAUGUCUUGCAUCUUACACAUUCAGAUUUAUGUUAGUCUUCAUAGGAACUUCCACCCGACCUAAAAAGGCUACUUCAACAGAUACUCCACUUUGACGCGUGGAUAUGCCCAUUAGAUGGUUUGUUCUCAUUCUCAGAUCCAGAAUAUAAGACAUUUCUCUUUUUUAAUUCUUUUGAUAUUUAUUGUAUUGCAGAUUGAGUCAUCUGGUGGUCAAGCAAUUAUAUUUGGAGGGGAUGUUUCAAAAGAAGCUGAUGUGGAAUCUAUGGUGAAAACGGUGGGGGCAAAUUUGCAAUUAAUUCCUCUCUUAGAGUUGGCUACUACAGCAUGAUUUCCUAUGCUUAUAUUAUGGAUGCAUGGUAAUUUCAGGCAGUCGAUGCCUGGGGAACGGUUGACAUAUUAGUGAAUAAUGCAGGUAAUUAGAAGUUGACAUUUCUGCCCUUUUCCUUCUUUGAACUUCAUCAUCUUAUUUUCCUGAGAUGAAAUGAUAAUAAUUUCAGGAAUUACUCGAGAUACAUUAUUAAUGCGAAUGAAGAAAUCGCAGUGGCAAGAAGUAAUUGAUCUCAAUCUUACAGGAGUUUUCCUCUGUACGCAGGUAUCUACCCUCGUGCUAUUUUGCAUUGUAAUUUGAAAAUCAAACUGUUGAAUAUUUUUCAUCGUAAUUUUAUCUGCUCUUUUAUAGGCUGCAACAAAAAUUAUGAUGAAAAAGAAAAAGGUAUGCUCUGCUACAUGAACUAACGGUUUUUUUAUUUUCUUAGAUCCAUUAAACAUAUUUCUGGAACACCCUUUGCCAUUACAAUCCUCAAGAGUGUGGUUUGAAAUGAAAUAAGCACUCCUUUUUAAGGUCUUAAAUAUCAUUCCUAUUAAGAAAAAUAAUCUCAGAAAACUAUCUAAUUCUUCUUCAAACUUUGUCAAAAUAUUUCCCUUUUCUUCCUCCGUUGUCAUUCAUAUCUCCUUCUUGGUGGCUCAUUUAAUCUAAGAUCAGCUCUUCUAUUAGCGGAACAGCAGUACUUCUAGGUCCAGAACUACUAUGUGGCCAAAAUUGAGAGAAUAGAACCUGUUGCUUGCUUUCAUUUCAAUUUCAUCUCCGUAGCACAUGACUAGCCAGUUAGUUUCAAAUGGAUGACUCAUAAGUAUUUGUUCGGAGUCAGAAGAUCCUUCAUUUUACACCUCCUCAGUAAAAUUAAAAUCGCAACUUAUUCUCACUUCAAAUUGAGAUGAAAGUUUUUUUGUAACAGGAUCAUAGCCUUUAUGCAAGUUCUUCUCUCACAUAUUAUAUCAUUCGGCUAUUCUGAUCAUUUGAUAAAAUUGUUUUCAGGGGAGAAUUAUUAACAUAGCAUCGGUUGUCGGUCUCGUUGGAAAUGUUGGUCAAGCUAAUUAUAGCGCUGCCAAGGCCGGGGUAAUUGGCUUCACGAAAACCGUCGCAAGGGAGUAUGCAAGCAGAAAUAUCAAUGUGAGUUUAUCUCUCUGUGUAGGGCCUUGUGCAUAUGUUCUCUGCAAAAUCAUCUGUUUACUUUUAGAAACUUCUAAAUUUUAUACACCCCUCUUUGGUUUGGUUGGAAAGGUUUUGUUUAAAGAAGGGAUACUUUUGUAAGAAAAUUAAGUUUUUUAAAGAAAAAUGUGAAAUUUCAAAUUUCACAUUUUGCAGCGGAUAUAGAUGUACACAUAUCAUAUCUCAGGGGCAUAACUUUUAAGUAUAUUCCUUCUAUGUCGAAUCUUCGUAUUUGUGUGACCCUUCGACGUGCCUUGAACAUCGAUUUGCAUGUUGCUUAGGUUAAUGCUGUUGCUCCCGGAUUUAUUGCAUCUGAUAUGACUGCUAAGCUCGGAGAGGAUCUCGAGAAGAAAAUCUUGCAGACAAUCCCACUAGGUAUGUGUGACGGCCCUCAUAUUUUCGGCCAACUAGCAACAGAGAUUUGAACUGAGGAUAUGGAUUCUUAUGAUUUAUUCGUAAAGAAAGUAACAGAUAAUACAUAAAUCAUAGAUGAUUUAACAUAAUGCAUGAAUCAUCGUUUCCCUCUAUGCUGUGAAUUGAACAAAAUCAGAUUUCUGUUUGUAAAUAUCCAAAGCAAAAUGUCGACCUAACUGGUAUUAGUUUCAAAAAGCGUUACAAGACAAAUAUGGUGCUAACUUCUAUUAUCCUUUUAGUAUUGUUAUUCAUUCUCUUUCAUCUAUCAAAAUAGAGAUGACAUAAUAUGUUUUUUCUUUUUAACUUUUUAUUCUCAGGGAGGUAUGGUCGACCGGAAGAAGUUGCUGGCUUGGUGGAGUUCCUGGCCCUUAGUCCUGCGGCUAGUUACAUUACUGGCCAGGUAUGGCAUUACGUUUAGCCAAUUUAUGGGUUAAACUUACGACUAGCUGGUGAAUCUAAAAACCUACAUGCCUCGUGCCUAUUCGGCCGAGCUUUUGACGGAGCUUCUCUACCCCAAGAGGCAACAGCUAUGUGUUUGGCUAGCCAAACUCCUCUGGAGCUUUGAUGUGCCAGAUGCUUUUAAGAUCCAGAAGUAGAUGUUUCAAUUUUCGGAACACCUGCUUUUGGUACGGCGAAAAGCUGUUGAGAAGAGAGUAUAUUCAAAAGCUCUUCAAGCAUCUUUUACUCAAACAACACUUCUGCCAAAACUCCAACGUGGCUAAACAGGGACGCCUAACUCAGCUCAGAAACUUUCACUGGUGAUUGAUCUCGUCGAAUUCUUACAAUAUACUUAGAUGGUGACAAUAGUAAUAAAAACGCAGGUGUUCACCAUUGAUGGCGGUAUGGUAAUGUAGAACAGGAGCAGAGCUUAUGAAAACAGCAUUCGGAUAUCGAACUAAUGAUCUGUUAUUACGGCACCAUAUCGCACUCUUUGCAGGUAAAUAACUCGGCAUAGAGUUAGAUUUUCGAGAAGGUACCUAGCAUUUUUGCAGUUUCUGUGUCUUUCCUUGCAAAUUUCUGUGUGUUUUUUUGUUGCUAUAUAAUCCCUUUUUUGCCUGUUGUUUUGAAAUGCUUUUUCGAAAUGAGCUUAUCAGAUAAAGAAAAGUUUGGCAAUUUAUUGGACAGUUUUGUUGCCAUUUACUGAUGGUUUCUCUCCAUUUGAUUCUACAAAAUAAUUUUCUCUCUCCCUUUUGUCAUUGAUAAUAAUUAAUAGGUAUAAUUUGUAAGUACUAUUGUUUAAACAGUCCAGCUACUAUACUCUUAUGAGUACGAAGGCGGCUCUUAUGAGUACGAUCGCCUUCGUACUCAUAAAUCCUUUUUGAUAAUAGAGCUUCCGAAUCGACGAUCCAUACUGUUAAACAUUAGCUAAGACAUUUAAAAUUUCUAGAAAUUAAAUUUUAUAGUUUUUUGACAUCAUUUAUCUUACGAUAAAAAAAUAUCAAAAUUGAUAGUUUUUAACGGCCAGUAUGGAUUAUGGAAUACUUGUUAGUUUAACGGUGUAAAAGAAUCGGAAUUGGUUGAAUUUUUGAUAAAAAAUUCUAUUCAUUAUCUAGAUAAAGAUUAUUAACUCUGAUCUUAAAUUGGAGGAUCCGAUCAUCCAUUUUUGGGAUGUCAUUCGAUUUUGACGGUUCAUUUUAUACCCGCUUGGUGAAUUUUAUUAUGAUUUCGAAAAGUUACGAAAUUUAUUUUUUAAAAGUUUCAAAUACUCAAAAUUAUAUUUAACGGAAUGGAUUGUCGACUCAGAAGCUCAAUCAUCGAAAAUAAUUUAUGAGUACGAAGGGUUCAAUACUCAUAAGAGCAUAGUAGCCCUCCUCUUGUUUAAAUUAGGAAACUAAUAAAAGGCCAAGUUGCAAAAUUCGCCCUCGCAUUUUGCCCCGUGUCUCAAAUACCUUUGUCUAUUAAAUUUUGCUUUAAUUUGAACCCGGUGUAUUACAACUGUUUCAAAUUUGUCAAAUAAGUUGGUAUGAUGAUUAAAUUAGGAUGCAAAACUUUACCUAAAUGAUUUGACAUGUCGCACUAGGGUUCUAAUGGAAUAAUUAAGAAUUUAAGUGUUAUGAUACGAAGUCGUGUCAAGAACAUGUGACGAUAGUAUAUAUAUGAUAUUUGUAUUGUUUUAGCAUUAAUAUAUUAUAAUUACUUUAUAUAUGUUUUUAUUUAUUUAUUUUUUAUUAAAGGAGAUUUUACAAUGAUAUGUGUGUAAAAUUUACACUCUAUCUAUCUAAAAGCCGCUAUUUUCUUUCUUGUAUUAUCAAUUGUCAGCAGGUCAGGUUUGGGGUGAAUUUUUAAAAAUCCAAAUCCAAACUACCGAAAUCAAAAUCUAAAUCUGAAUAUAUCGGAUGUUAAAAAUUCAUAUUCAAAUUCAAACCUAACAAAAAAUAAACCUGAAUCCGAAAGUAAUUUUUUUUUACUAAAUUUCAAAACAUGUUUUAUUAUAAUCUAAAAUUUCAUAGCAUAAAUUCAAAUUUUUUGUUAUAUGGGUAUAAAUAAAAAUCAUAUCUAAAUAAUACUCGUUUAGUAUCAAUUAAAUUCAUUAUGUUCGGAUUCAAAUUUAAAUAAAAUUUUAAGGAUUCAUUACUAUUAACAUUCCUAAGUGUGAGAUGUUUAUCCUUCUGUAUGAGGGUGUACUAGGGCUGUUUUUUUUUUUUUUUUUUUUUUUUUUUUAGGGGGCAAUUACUUAUAUAUAUUUAUGAAAAGUUAAGUUUUCGAUUUUUUAAUUUACCCCUCUUAGAAGGUUAAUAUUAAAAAUAUUUUUUUAACGUUACAAGUUAUUUCAAAUAUAACUUUAAAGUUAAAUUCUAUUAGUAAACUAUCAGCAACUGCUGUUAUUUUUAUGAAAUUAUUAUUUUGCUUUUUCAAGUAUAUCUUUCUAUCAUGACAAAUUUUUUUUAUUUGCUUUUAAAUUAGAUGCAAAAGAAGUAUUUUAAUUUUGUCUUUUCAAAUAUACCUUAAUACUACCAUCAAAUUUUUCUAUUUAUUCUUAAGUUAAGGAUAAAAGAUGUAUUUUAGUUUUUUUAAUUAUGGUGGAUAUUUAACUCACGUUUAACCAGCGAUACUUGACGGACGGUAACUGCAGAGGUAUUUUUAAAUAAUAGGGAAACAUACUAAAAGUAUAUUUAAAAUAAAAAAAUAUAGAUAAAUUAGAUAUUUCAUAUUUUGAAGGGCACGCAGGUAAUUUUUUUUUUUUUUAAUAUUGAUGGAAAAAGGUGUUGGUACUUGGUACCUGUUUUGACCAGCCGUACUGGCAGAAUAAUUCUACAGCUCAAUUGUACACUUUUGUGACUUACUAUUUUUUUUAUUUGCAAAAGAAAACGUCUAUUAUGUAGCAGCUAUUAGCUAUAUUACAUCAUUUAUAUUUAAUUAAUUAUAUAUAUUUUUUAAAUAAUAUAAUAAAAAUAUUUUUUAAAAAAUUAUAAUAUGAUAGAUAAAUCUCAAAAGUGUGAACCUACUAUUUGAUUUUAAGAAAUGCUACCUAUACAUCUCAAAAGGAGGUGAUAAAUUUUAAAAUAGUUUUUAAAAUAAAUUUUGAGAAUUUUUAAAAUCUUAAUUUUAACAUUUUUGAUAUUUUUAAUCAUUUCAUUUUGGAUAAAUUUAUUUUGUUUUAAUACUAAAAAUUCACCGAGGAUUGUCUAUACUCUCAUGAGUUUAUCUAAAAAAUUAUUUUUAAUCUGAAAAUUAAAAGUUUGAACAACAAAUUGACAUUAAGUUUUUACUAGAAAAUUACUAGAAAAAAAUUGAAAUAGGCAUUUGAUAAAUUUUUACUGAAAGGGUCGAACUUGUUAAGGCUUUGUUUGAGAUUGCGGGGGAUUGUGUACGAUGGAAAAAUACUAUGCUUGUUUCCGCGCGCAAUAUUGCAUUUCGCAUAUCGCAAUGAGUUGGCUACAAUAUAUUUUCUGUGAUUCCAUCGGAAAACACAGAAGUAUAUCCCUAGAUGCUUUUACCUUAACUCUAUUUUAUCUAAUAACGUCAGAUGGAUUUCAAUACCAAAUUAACCCAAGUGCUUAGGAGAGUCGGAUGUCCAUGUCCAUUUUACUUAAGUAGAGCGUCUUAUAUGAUGGACAAUGCUAAUUUAUUAAUAAUAUAAUAAAAUAUUUUAAGUAUUUUUUAUUUUUUAUUUUUUGUAAUUGGCACACACCGAAUGAUCUUGGGGAUUAUUAUUUUUAGGGAAACUUCAAAUAUCAUCUGUGUUUUCGCACUUUAUCACUAUUGUUUGAAGUAUAUCACUUUCGUAUUCUGUGAUUUUAUUUUUCUUUUUUUUGUUAUUCUUUUCACUAUUUUUUUUCGUUAAAUCAGUGAGAAAAAUAAAUAUUCGAUAAACUAUAGGUGAGAUAUCUGGAAUUUUUUGUAUAUGAUUUAACAAAAGUUAAUGGAGGUGGUGAUGAAAAGAAAAAAAAUAAAACCGCGGGAUAUUAAAUAGAUACAUUUUAAAUUAUAUAAUACUAAAAUAUUAAAGUGAGAAAAUACAAAAUUAGGGGGUGGUAUUUAAAAUUUACCCUACCACGUCCAACCCCAAGCAGAGGUACACGUAUACAUAAACGCCACGUGUCCACUCAUCCGUGUCGCAACCGCUGCUGCCCGCGUGUCUCAGCCGUCCAUCAACCCCCACACAUUCACACUCACUUUUUAAGGUAAACUUUUGGGCCCUCAAACUACUGUAUCCUCAAUCCUCAAUUUAUUAUAAUUUAUUAUUUCAAAAUUUUAAAAUUAUUUAUAAUUUAAAAUAAUAAAUAAUUAAUGUAUCAUGCUAUUUUCGAUACAUCUAUAUUUAGUCAAUUAAAUUAAAUUAUAAAAUUUGAUUAUAAUAAUUUACCAGAACUUAAAAAUUGUAAUAGAUUAAAAGACCAAAGUGCCCCUCUGUAGUUUGAAAACCAAAAUUUAAAUUGAAUAUAAACUUAAUAUAUCAAUUGAUUUUUUUUUAUCUUAUUCAAACAAACACCUUAAUAAGACAUGCAAAAGUUAUAAAAAAUCUAUCAUUCUCAAAUAAUUUUAAAAAAUAGUACAAUAUUUAUUUCAAAGUACAACUUUCAUAUUAUGUGAUACAACUUAAUUUCUAAUAAUUUUAUGCAAUUUUUAUCUCAAAAAAUGUACUUUCGUCUCAAUUUGUGCAGGUUUUAUAUUAAAGAGUGCAACUUUUGUAUUAAACAGUAUAAUUACGUCUAAAACAAUAUGACUUUGUUUUUUUUCUCUUUAAUCUCUACUUCAUCUUUUCUGUAGCGAUCACGGCUCGAGAUGUCAACGGGUCGGGUUUGGAUCGGAUUUUUAAAAAUCCGAACUCGAAAACCAAAUUAAAACUCGAACCUGGACUUGAUUCCUGCUGGUUUUAAAAAUCCAUACCCAUAUACCAGACCAAAAACUCGAAACCCGAAUCCGGACCCGAACCCGAACCCGAACUCGGCGGGUUUUAAAAAUUCAUACUGUUGGAUGAAGAUCUAAGGAAUAAAAAUUAUUAAAUAUUUUAUAUAUUAUAUAAAUAAAUAAAAAUAAAUUAUGUAUAUAUAUAAUUUAUUCGGAUUGGGGUCGGGUUCGCGUUCGGAUCCGGUAAAUACAAAAUUCAUAUCCGUAUUCAUAUCCGUCGAUUUUUAUUUUCUAUACUCAUAACCGAAUCCAUACCCGUUUAGCUCGGAUAAAUCCGUCCUGCUCGGGUUCGGAUUUGGAUAACAUUUCAGAUAUCCAUACCCUUUGACAUCCCUAAUCACAGCAUAUAAUAUUUCUUCUUAAAAGAUAAUUAUUUCAUUUUUUUACUCUUUAUUUUUUUUUUCCUUUCCAUUAUUUGCAUCUC
rnacentral:lncRNA from 1 species